GGAAUGCAGGCUGGUUCACAGUGUAAGCAGCUAAGCAGAAAGAUUUCAUUCAUCUCGUUCAUUAAAAUUCAAAUAAUUAUAAAGUCAGAGAUGUUAACUUUUCAGUUAUUACAAUACAGCUGGCAAACAGAGACUGUUGCACCAACUGGGAGACUUGAAGCCUCAUCUUUGGUGGCCAGGAAGGCGCUGUUAUCCCAGGAGAUCCUAUAUGUGAGUCUCAGAGCCACCAAGGCCCGUGAUUGGUCCUGGUGUUUUCAGAACUGUCUACUGCAUCCUGAACAUUUUCCAUGCAUCACUGACUGGGAACAUUUUAAGUUGGCGUCAAAGAUAGAGUCUGUGGGGAAGUCUGCACACAAAUAAUACUUCUUCAUUGUUCUUGCUCAGAAGUGUUCAUGCUUUUUGCAAGCUGUUUCACCCACUGUGGCAGAAGAGUAAACUAUAAAUAAUCAAUCAGUUUUUUUCCUUAGCAAGACAUAUUCUCAUUUUCAGAGCCAAUGUACCACUGGAUGACAGAAAGAGAAAGUGCUCAACUCCAUUAGCAUCAGCCAUCCAGUGGGGCCUGACUUGGCAGGCAUGUGAUAACAGCCAUGUAAGGAAGCACAGGAGAGGCCACACAGGAAGAUUAUAUAAAUGAGAACCACAGUUGUAGACAGAUAAUGAAAUACAAUGAGAUGGGCUGGAGUACACUGGGUGUCCUUUGGCAUAAGGAAACAAUCUAUUUUUUAUAAGCUUUUAUUCAAGAAAAAUGUCUUACAUUCACAUAUAUAGACCACAAUUUCCGAGAGUGGCAUAAAACAUAACUCCAAAUCUUGAAGUAGUCACCUAAGCAGAGAUACUUAUGAAGCAAGAGUUACCUCUGAAAGUGCAGUGACAGUUCCCUGGAAUCAAGCCUUUGGCACCCUAUUUUAUUGUAUUUAGCUCUGACGUUGGAGGGGAAGGUGAACAAUAGGGUAGUGAACACAGUGUUUGAGCUUGCAGAUUUGGUCAGGGUCAAUAAAAUUGUGUAGAGUGCCCUCACAGGCCAGAAGACAAAAAAAAAAAAAAAAAAAAAAAAAGUGUGAUGUGUCACUGAACAGCUUCUGGAAGCUGCACUAGCAAGGACAUUGUGAGAUCCCUAGACCUAUUUCCACCCUAUCAAACUGGAUCUGGAGAUAUCACAACUAUUGUGGGAACUAUCCUGACUAUUCACGCAUGGUCUGCUAUAAGGUAUUUGCCAGCAGCUCUGGGCAUGGCCCGAGGCUACAAGAAACAAGAUGAGAAGCAAAAUGGUAAUUUCUGUCAAUUAAUUUCUCCUUCUGCUUUUGGUCUAGAUAAGAAAUGGUGGGAAAAGAAAGGGUAAAGUAAGGUAACAGGGAAAGAUAGAGUAUUUGAGUAGAGGGAUUCUUGACCUUUCCUAUACAGAAACCAAAAGGAAGCCAAUCAUCUAGAACUAGUUCAUAAGAGCAAAUUUGCUGCUGAAGAAAAGAUAAGGAAAGAGACUAAGAGCCCAGAUGGAACAGGAUGUUUUAAUGAAAAACUCUCUAAGAAGUUGUUCUGUUGGGAAAACUUGAUUGCCAUGUUCUGGAGGCUUUAUCUCUCACUUGGUGCUCUCAAAGGUGUUACCUCUUGGGAAAUUUUACCUAUUAGUCAUGUAGGAACUCUGAGGUGUCCAAAAAAAGAUAUUCACACAGCUAACUGGUUUUGCAGAGGAAAAUAAUUUAGGUUCCCCCAAAAAGCUCAUUGUGGAUGUUUUAACGGAGAAGGAAAAUCUACCUGAAACUUUCAGGCGUUCAAGAAAAAGCCAGGGAUUUUCAGCAGUUUUACACCUGGAUCCUGGAGGAGCACCUACAGCUGGAUCAUGGAGAGACAUCUAAGAUGAAGC
rnacentral:lncRNA from 1 species